UACGAAGGGGGCUAGCGUUGUUCGGAAUCACUGGGCGUAAAGGGCGCGUAGGCGGCGCGACAAGUCAGGCGUGAAAGCCCCGGGCUCAACCCGGGAAUUGCGCUUGAUACUGUCGUGCUUGAGGCCGGGAGAGGAUGGCGGAAUUCCCAGUGUAGAGGUGAAAUUCGUAGAUAUUGGGAAGAACACCCGUGGCGAAGGCGGCUCUCUGGGACGGUACUGACGCUGAGACGCGAAAGCGUGGGGAGCGAACAGG
rnacentral:rRNA from 1 species